rfam:Gordonia bronchialis DSM 43247, complete genome.
GCGCGAGUGGCGGAAUUGGCAGACGCGCUGGAUUUAGGUUCCAGUGUCUACGGACGUGGGGGUUCAAGUCCCCCCUCGCGCA